AUAUAUAUAUAUAUAUAUAUAUAUAUAUAUAUAUAGCAUCUUCUACAACACCUAAAUUAUUUGGAUCUAUUUGGGCCCAUGAUAUUAAACUUAUUUUUGAAAGUUGGCGGAGUGCUUGAAGCCUGCUUGACCUCCACCGGAGGCCCGUCCGGUAUUGCACUAUCUCCGGGAUCGGCCCGUACAUU